rnacentral:rRNA from 1 species
CCUACGGGAGGCAGCAGUGAGGAAUAUUGGUCCAUGGGCGCGAGCCUGAACCAGCCAAGUCGCGUGAGGGAAGACGGUCCUAUGGAUUGUAAACCUCUUUUGUCGGGGAGCAAAAGACGCCACGCGUGGCUUUCCGAGAGUACCCGAAGAAAAAGCAUCGGCUAACUCCGUGCCAGCAGCCGCGGUACUACGGGGGAUGCGAGCGUUAUCCGGAUUUAUUGGGUUUAAAGGGUGCGCAGGCGGAAGAGCAAGUCAGCGGUAAAAUUGAGAGGCUCAACCUCUUCGAGCCGUUGAAACUGGUUUUCUUGAGGGAGCGAGAAGUAUGCGGAAUGCGUGGUGUAGCGGUGAAAUGCAUAGAUAUCACGCAGAACUUCGAUUGCGAAGGCAGCAUACCGGCGCUCAACUGACGCUCAUGCACGAAAGUGUGGGUAUCGAACAGGAUUAGAUACCCUUGUAGUC